GUAGGUGGCAAGCGUUGUCCGGAAUUAUUGGGCGUAAAGCGCGCGCAGGCGGUUCUUUAAGUCUGAUGUGAAAGCCCACGGCUCAACCGUGGAGGGUCAUUGGAAACUGGAGAACUUGAGUACAGAAGAGGAAAGCGGAAUUCCACGUGUAGCGGUGAAAUGCGUAGGGAUGUGGAGGAACACCAGUGGCGAAGGCGGCUUUCUAGUCUGUAACUGACGCUGAGGCGCGAAAGCGUGGGGAGCAAACAGGGAUUAGAUACCCUGGUAGUCCACGCCGUAAACGAUGAGUGCUAAGUGUUAGGGGGUUUCCCGCCCCUUAGUGCUGCAGCUAACGCAUUAAGCACUCCGCCUGGGGAGUACGGCCGCAAGGCUG
rnacentral:rRNA from 1 species